GGACCCUGGCUCAGCGGUAGAGCACCUGCCUGCCAUGCAGAAGGUUCCAGGUUCAAUCCCUGGCAUCUCCA